UACAGAGGUCCCAAGCGUUGUUCGGAUUCACUGGGCGUAAAGGGUGCGUAGGCGGUCGGGUAAGUCUGAUGUGAAAUCUCACAGCUUAACUGUGAAACUGCAUUGGAUACUAUCCGGCUAGAGGAAUGGAGGGGAGACUGGAAUACUUGGUGUAGCAGUGAAAUGCGUAGAUAUCAAGUGGAACACCAGUGGCGAAGGCGGCUUGCCAGAACGCGCUCGACGGUGAGGGAUGAAAGCUGGGGGAGCAAACCGG
rnacentral:rRNA from 1 species